GACGAACGCUGGCGGCGUGCUUAACACAUGCAAGUCGAACGGAAAGGCCCUGCUUUUGUGGGGUGCUCGAGUGGCGAACGGGUGAGUAACACGUGAGUAACCUGCCCUUGACUUUGGGAUAACUUCAGGAAACUGGGGCUAAUACCGGAUAGGAGCUCCUGCUGCAUGGUGGGGGUUGGAAAGUUUCGGCGGUUGGGGAUGGACUCGCGGCUUAUCAGCUUGUUGGUGGGGUAGUGGCUUACCAAGGCUUUGACGGGUAGCCGGCCUGAGAGGGUGACCGGCCACAUUGGGACUGAGAUACGGCCCAGAGUCCUACGGGAGGCAGGAGUGGGGAAUAUUGCACAAUGGGCGGAAGCCUGAUGCAGAAACGCCGCGUGGGGGAUGACGGCCUUCGGGUUGUAAACCGCUUUCGCCUGUGACGAAGCGUGAGUGACGGUAAUGGGGAAAGAAGCACCGGCUAACUACGU
rnacentral:rRNA from 1 species